rnacentral:rRNA from 1 species
GACGAACGCUGGCGGCGUGCUUAACACAUGCAAGUCAGGGGGUGGGGCAACCCAUCACCGGCGGACGGGUGCGUAACACGUGAGCGACCUGCCUUCGAGUGGGGGAUAGCCGGCCCAACGGCCGGGUAAUACCGCAUACGACACUGCCGGGGCAUCCCGGGGGUGUGAAACCACUUGGGCUCGGAGAGGGGCUCGCGGCCUAUCAGCUAGUUGGCGAGGUAACGGCUCACCAAGGCGAUGACGGGAGCUGGUCUGAGAGGAUGGCCAGCCACAUUGGGACUGAGUUUAGACGGCCCAGACUCCUACGGGAGGCAGCAGUGGGGAAUCUUGCGCAAUGGCCGAAAGGCUGACGCAGCGACGCCGCGUGCGGGAUGAAGGCC